rnacentral:pre_miRNA from 1 species
CAAGGCAACCAGGUACCCCUAAUUGCCAGGGAGUGGGCAUGAGCUUGUGUUAAGCCCACCUCAUGUGCAGUGGGGGCCCGCCCUAAUUAGGCACAGGUGGGCUUAACACAAGCUCAUGCCCACUCCCUGGCAAUUAGGGGCACCUGGUUGCCUUGUUACACU